rnacentral:rRNA from 1 species
UACGUAGGGGGCUAGCGUUGUCCGGAAUCAUUGGGCGUAAAGCGCGUGUAGGCGGUCCGGUAAGUCCGCUGUGAAAGUCGGGGGCUCAACCCUCGAAUGCCGGUGGAUACUGUCGGGCUAGAGUGCGGAAGAGGCGAGUGGAAUUCCUGGUGUAGCGGUGAAAUGCGCAGAUAUCAGGAGGAACACCGGUGGUGUAGACGGCUUUCUGGACCGUAACUGACGCUGAGACACGAAAGCGUGGGUAGCAAACAGG